AUUGAACGCUGGCGGCAGGCUUAACACAUGCAAGUCGAGCGGAGUGAUGGUGCUUGCACUAUCACUUAGCGGCGGACGGGUGAGUAAUGCUUAGGAAUCUGCCUAUUAGUGGGGGACAACAUUCCGAAAGGAAUGCUAAUACCGCAUACGUCCUACGGGAGAAAGCAGGGGAUCUUCGGACCUUGCGCUAAUAGAUGAGCCUAAGUCGGAUUAGCUAGUUGGUGGGGUAAAGGCCUACCAAGGCGACGAUCUGUAGCGGGUCUGAGAGGAUGAUCCGCCACACUGGGACUGAGACACGGCCCAGACUCCUACGGGAGGCAGCAGUGGGGAAUAUUGGACAAUGGGGGAAACCCUGAUCCAGCCAUGCCGCGUGUGUGAAGAAGGCCUUAUGGUUGUAAAGCACUUUAAGCGAGGAGGAGGCUACUUAGAUUAAUACUCUGGGAUAGUGGACGUUACUCGCAGAAUAAGCACCGGCUAACUCUGUGCCAGCCGCCGCAGUAA
rnacentral:rRNA from 1 species